GAUGAACGCUAGCGGCAGGCUUAAUACAUGCAAGUCGAGGGGUAGCAAGAUUGUAGCAAUACAAUUGUUGACGACCGGCAAACGGGUGCGGAACACGUACACAACCUUCCUACAAGUGGGGAAUAGCCCAGAGAAAUUUGGAUUAAUACCCCGUAACAUAGCGAUGUGGCAUCACAUUGCUAUUAUAGCUUCGGCGCUUGUUGAUGGGUGUGCGGCUGAUUAGAUAGUUGGCGGGGUAACAGCCCACCAAGUCUACGAUCAGUAGCUGAUGUGAGAGCAUGAUCAGCCACACGGGCACUGAGACACGGGCCCGACUCCUACGGGAGGCAGCAGUGGGGAAUCUUGCGCAAUGCGCGAAAGCGGGACGCAGCAACGCCGCGUGAGGGAAGAAGGCCUUCGGGUUGUAAACCUCUUUCAGGAGGGACGAAGGUUCAGGCGCGAAUAGCGUCCUGGACUGACGGUACCUCCAGAAGAAGGCCCGGCUAACUACGUGCCAGCCGCCGCGGUAACAC
rnacentral:rRNA from 1 species